CAUGGACGAAAACCCUAGCCGCCAGGCCCGCCAAUCCCCUCCCGAGCGCCUCCUCUCCCAAUCCCGCCACGCUCGCGUCGCCUAUCCCCACGAGCAGCCGCUCGCCCAAUCCCUCUCGCUUCACCUCCUCCAAUCCCUGACCUAUCUCUUCUUCUCCUCAAUCCCCGCUCCUAUCAUCGUCCUGCGUGCCGUCGUGGUCUUGUUCGUCGAGACAGUAGGUGAGGAGGUAGCCCUCCAUGGUGCCCCGAUUCGCGCCGCCGACCUGCAGGAGCAGGGCACCUUCGCGGGAGAAGAGGCUGGGAGCUCCGCCUCCUAGACGCCACCACAUCCGUUCUACCGCAUCGCAGCCGAUGGUUCGGGAAGAGUGGCCGGUGGCCUACGGGAGCAGCGCAGCCAAGGAUCGAGCGGCCGGCCGCCGUCCUGCACAUCUUUGAUGUGUUGACGCUGGCCAGCAGACUAGCAGUCUGCCCUCCUCUGACUUUUCUUCAAAGCGACCAGCAGGUUCUCUCUACAUCUCUUUCUCAAAGGAACGGUGAAUCACAUAUGUGGUUGUGCAGACCCUUUUCUAUUUAUGUCUUACAAGGUGCUUGAUGAAAAUCCUAGCUAAUAUUACUAUUGACGGAAAGUUGCAGCCAGUGGUGGUGUUCCUUGGCAAUGACGAGAGGAGCAUACGAUGGAUUCUUCAAGAUUCAAUGCAGUUAUGGUGCUACACUGUUACCCUCCUUGGUGUCGCAUGUUUCCCUGAUUUUACCUUCCCAGAGAGGCUGAUGGAUUCUGGACAGGUGUAGGUUCUAUUAUUGAAGUGUGUUCUGGUGAUUGUGGAGUGUGCCUGCACUGAAAUAUUAUGGUUUUUCUGUUGGUAAUUGGAUAGGUGGUUCCUUGUACAGCUUAUAUGUCAUUGGAUUUGCAAUGCUCAACGCCUUUGAAUUAUUUUUCUUUAGGUAUAACAAGAUAGUGAUGAGUUUAUUUUUGCCAAUGUUUGAUGGUACUUUGGCAUAUAUAUUUCAUUGGAGAUAUAGAAUAUAAUAGCUAGAUGGUUGCA